UUCAUACAUGCAAGUCGAACGAGAAUCUGACUUCGGUCAGAGGAAAGUGGCGGACGGGUGAGUAAUGUGUAGAGAAUCUGCCCUAGAGUGGGGGACGAACAGUUGGAAACGACUGCUAAUACCCAUAUGCGCGUACUUGAGAUAGUAUUCGUGAAAACUCCGGUGCUCUGGGAUGAGUCUGCAUCUGAUUAGCUAGUUGGCGGUGUAAUGGACCACCAAGGCGACGAUCAGUAGCUGGUUUGAGAGGAUGAUCAGCCACAAUGGGACUGAGACACGGCCCAUACUCCUACGGGAGGCAGCAGUAGGGAAUUUUGCGCAAUGGGGGAAACCCUGACGCAGCAACGCCGCGUGAUUGAAUAAGCCCUUCGGGGUGUAAAGAUCUGUCAGUAGGGACGAAACUUGACGGUACCUACGGAGGAAGCAUCGGCUAACUCCGUGCCAGCCGCUGC
rnacentral:rRNA from 1 species